rnacentral:lncRNA from 1 species
AUAUAUUUUCAUCAAACUUGAUUAAACAUGUGAAUAAGAUACACAAUCACUAAAGAAUAUGUGAUAAUUUAAGUUUCAUCAAAUUUGCAAUCAAGCAAACCUAUAGUUAUUGCCCUGCUACUAUUCGAGUUUUCCUCUGAAACAAAAAUGGAGCGGAAGGGCUGCCAAUAACCACUUCCUGCUACUUGGCGCUAUUAAUUAUACAUCUUUCAAGAAACCAACAUUCUCUAAAUUCAAAAAUAUUUCAUUUCUCUCAAGCCUCUUCAAGUAUUAUGCCAUUUAAUUGUCAAUAUCCUGUAAAAAAAAAGUCAUCACAAUUAAAAGUAGAAAUAGAUACAACAGAUCUCAACAUGUAUAAUCUUCUCUCUUUCAAGAGGGACAAAAGUAUAUAGUCCUUGUGGCUCAACCUUGUCCUUAAGGUGGCAUCACACAUGUACAGAUGAACCAUCAAUUAAGCCACUUUGAAUUUUGUAGAAGAAAAAAAUAAACUUAAAAAUUACUCAAUCUAAAGAAAUAAAAAUAGAUGAAUCAGAUAGAUUCUGAAAGUAAUGAAUAAUGCAUAGAAAAGCAGGCAGUAAUCUUUCUGUCAUGUGACAGCUUAUAAGUUAAGCGUAUUGAAAUUUUGAUUUGUAACAAUAUUUUGAACUAAUUACCAAUACCAUAACAUCAUAAAACAGUUGUAGCAACAUCCAAAAAUAACAGCAAAAGUGAUUUCAACCGCAGUCGAAAAUACCAGAACAAAGUAAGAAGUAAAUUUUGUUAAUUCAGAUUCAGAAAACCAGCUACUACUGUUAAAUGAAAACAUCUUAUGAUUAGACAUGAAGAUUUAACUUAUAAAUCAGACUACGGUAUAAAAGAUACAAACUCUUAAUUUUACACAACUUCAUGGAAUAGAUUGUUAUACCAAAUUUUUAUAAAAAAUAUAUACCUCGGCAUUAGCCGAUGAACCCACCCACCACCAAAGUCUCCCAUAUGAAUCACUUUACCUUAAGUAUCCAUCAUGUUGGAUACUUAUUCAACCUCCAAACUCUCUCAAUUAACAGUAUGAUGCCACUUACAUGCUUUAUGACAUAUUCUUACCCAAGUAACAUCUACUCCUUCCACAACCAAAUCCUUCACCUGCUCAAGCCCACAGAUAGCGGGAUCAAUUGUGCAGAUUAUAGCUUCGUCUUCUGUAUACUGCAAAAAUUGUUCUCCUCCUUCUUUGAUAUGCUUUUUUGUUGAGCCGAGGGUCUAUUGAAAACAACAUCUCUUCCUCUUAAGAUAAGAUAUGGAUAAAAUCUUCGUACGUUCUAUUUUAUCCGAUCCACACCCACUUGUGAGAUUACAUUAAGUAUGUUGUUGUACUCAAUUAAACAAAGUUCUUUAGGAAAAGGUGGAUUUUAAUAUUAUCUAUUGAAAAGGGAAAAUCUUGAGGUGGGGCCAGAGAGUUGGCAAUCCGCUUACUUUGACUUCCAAUUGAACUUUAAGAGGAGGAAGUAGGAAAUCAAAACCUUCAGGAGCUUUCUAUUUUUGGACGUAAUAAGCCAAUUUUCCCUAUUAAUUUUGUCAUUGAUGAUCUCUUUCUUGUUAGUUUUUUGUUUCAAAGCCAAAUCCCUUCUCUUAACUACAAUUGUAGAAUUUAACUUCAAAACAUUUGAAUCUAAAUAACCUAAUUAAUCUCCGAAAAAUUAUAGUAAUAAGAAACACUAUGCUGAUAGAAAAACAUUUGCACAAGAAGCUAAUGAUGAAACGGAGAAUUAAGUUCAUCUAAGAAUAGAAUUAAUAAUUCAUACUCCCUCAAUUUUAAUUUAUGCGCCACACUUUUCUUUUUAAUUUGUCCAAAAAACUAAUGUAAGUGAAACCCAAUUUGUCAUCCACGUUAGGUUGAAUGCGACAAUUUGUACUCCCUUAACCCUAAAACACAUGAACUGGGUCUCAAUUUGCUGAAAAUAGUUAUAGGGAGAGUUUAAGGAAGUCCAUGUUCCACCCAACAAUAUCAAAUCACACACAUGUACUAAAAAAAUAACUUCUAAAUUUUAGAUGGAAGAUCAUCACACACAUAUACUAAGCAAAAAUAGAAGCAUUUUGGGCCAAAGAUUGCAAAAGGAGCUAACCUGUGAAUUCGAACAGGAGAACAACAACGACACUGAAGAGGAAACAACUGAACUCCUCUUUUGAGUGAAGCGGUGGCUCUUGGAAUAUAAGCCACGUGGCUUAAAUUACUAAAUUGUCCUUAAUUUUAAU